rnacentral:tRNA from 1 species
GCCUCUAUGGCGUAGUGGUAGCGCGUGUCACUUGUAACCUAUUAUCAAGAUCAUGACAAGGUCUCUCGUUCGAUCCGGGAUGGAGGCA